GGCACAGAGCGCGGGAGGCGGCGGCGGCGGCGGCGGCGGCGCGGAGCCCAGGUGGCGCCGCUGCCGGAUGGGAGUGUCCCCGCGUGUCCGUGUCGCAGGAGCUCGGCACAUGCACGAUGUCAUCAUGCGUCUCUAGCCAGCUCAGCAACGACCGGGCCGCCCCCCAGGAUGAGCUGGGGGGCGGAGGCGGCAGCAGCAGCAGCAGCAGCAGCGAAGGCCAGAAGCCCUGUGAGGCCCUGCGGGGCCUUUCUUCCCUGAGCAUCCGCCUGGGCAUGGAGUCCUUCAUCGUGGUCACGGAGUGUGAGCCGACCUGCGCUGUGGACCCCGGCCUGGCCCGGGACCCGCCUCUGGAGGCCGACGGCAGAGAGGUCCCCCUCGACGUUUCCGGGUCCCAGCCCCGGCCUCACCUCUCCAGUCGCAAGCUCUCUCUACAGGAGCGGUCCCAGCUGGAUGCGAAUGGGCGCUGCGUCUACCCGGGCCUGCCCCACUCGCCCGUGGGCUCCCCGCAGUCCUCGCCACGGCUGCCCCGGCGGCCCACGGUGGAGUCGCACCACGUCUCCAUCACCGGGAUGCAGGACUGUGUACAGCUAAAUCAGUACACUCUGAAGGAUGAAAUUGGAAAGGGCUCCUAUGGCGUGGUCAAGUUGGCCUACAAUGAAAAUGACAAUACGUACUACGCAAUGAAGGUGUUGUCCAAAAAGAAGUUGCUCCGACAGGCGGGCUUUCCACGUCGCCCCCCACCCCGAGGCACCCGGCCGGCCCCCGGGGGCUGCAUCCAGCCCAGGGGCCCCAUUGAGCAGGUUUACCAGGAAAUUGCCAUCCUCAAGAAACUGGACCACCCCAAUGUGGUGAAGCUGGUGGAGGUCCUGGAUGACCCCAAUGAGGACCAUCUGUACAUGGUGUUUGAACUGGUCAACCAAGGGCCUGUGAUGGAAGUGCCCACCCUCAAACCACUCUCUGAAGACCAGGCUCGUUUCUACUUCCAGGACCUGAUCAAAGGCAUUGAGUACUUGCACUACCAGAAGAUCAUCCACCGGGACAUCAAACCUUCAAACCUCCUGGUCGGAGAAGAUGGGCACAUCAAGAUUGCAGACUUUGGUGUGAGCAACGAGUUCAAGGGCAGCGACGCCCUCCUCUCUAACACUGUGGGCACGCCUGCCUUCAUGGCGCCGGAGUCGCUCUCGGAGACCCGGAAGAUCUUCUCUGGGAAGGCAUUGGAUGUUUGGGCCAUGGGUGUGACGCUGUACUGCUUUGUGUUUGGCCAGUGCCCGUUCAUGGAUGAGCGGAUCAUGUGUUUACACAGUAAGAUCAAGAGUCAGGCCCUGGAAUUUCCAGAUCAGCCCGACAUAGCUGAGGACUUGAAGGAUCUGAUCACCCGCAUGUUGGACAAGAACCCGGAGUCGAGGAUCGUGGUGCCUGAGAUAAAGCUGCACCCCUGGGUCACGAGGCACGGGGCGGAGCCGUUGCCAUCGGAGGACGAGAACUGCACGCUGGUCGAGGUGACCGAAGAGGAGGUCGAGAAUUCGGUCAAACACAUUCCCAGCCUGGCGACCGUGAUCCUGGUGAAGACCAUGAUACGAAAACGCUCCUUCGGGAACCCGUUUGAGGGCAGCCGGCGGGAGGAGCGCUCAUUGUCAGCGCCUGGAAACCUGCUCACCAAAAAACCCACCAGGGAGUGUGAGCCCCUGUCUGAGCCCAAGGAAGCAAGGCAGCCAGGACAGCCUCCGGGGCCCCGACCCGGCCCCCGUGGGGGAGGAGGAAGUGCUCUUGUGAAAGGCGGCCCUCGCGUGGAGAGUUGGGGGGCCUUGGGCCCCAGCUCCCGCUCCCGCACACAUCUUCUGCGGCCGGACGAGGUGAUGGAGUAGCUGCCCGCACCUGACCGCGACCUCGCAUGCACGGCGUCUCACUUCUGCAGGCUGCACGCCGCGAGCCCUGCGUUUCCAUAGCAGCAUGUCUUACGGAAACCGAGCACACUGCAGGCCGAGGGGCCCCUGAGUUCCAAAUGUGAAUCCAGCCCACAGCAUUGUUUUCCUGGCUUUGAACUUCAGCUGUCUCCUAUCAAGGGGCAGCAAAUGAAGUCUGAAAGAUUCCUGUUCCAUCACUGCAAAAUGCAACACUGAAAUACUGGCCUUCAGCAUCAAGAGCAGGUGUUCCUAUUCAAAGGCCCCACUGAGAAUCUGAUGAAGGCAAGAAGAAGUCCAUACCGGUGCAUCACUUUGCAGAGUUUUAGGGGUUUCAGAGCCUCCUGGAAGCUCAUCUAUGGAUGCAGGGUAGAAGGGUCCCUGCUUAAAAGGCAGCGCCAAGGAGUGCCAACCAGGCGGCGGUGUAGCUGAACGCAGGAUGACUCUGGUAAGUAAAACAGCAACCCACCCCCACCCCGCAUCCCACCUGGCCUUAGCGCUCCACCUUAGAGAAAGGGAGGCCCAAAGAAGUCCCCCUCACUCCAGUAAACAUUACUUCUUCACCUGCAAGAUAAGAAGUCAUCCCUAAAAAUUCCAGCUCCACGUGCCCUGUGUGUUCAAGCAAGCAUUUUUUCAAAAAGGUAGCAUGAAUCCGAGCUUUUCCCAAGGGAUUCAGAAAACCCAUUUUUUCCCCCUAAAAGCAAGAAAAGCCAAGGUUGGUCACUUAUCCCGCAGAAGCAGAGCACCUCUAAAAUAAACGUUCCCUUCCGUAGUUGGAAAUGAAUUGAUGACAAGGAGGAGGGGCGUCGUUCUUUAGGGAGAUCCUGAGCGCCUGACGCAGAAUGAAGUGGGUGUGAAGACUAUGCCUGAAAUAGCUUCAUCAGCAUUUCAAACGGGGGCAAGGUAGGCGUAGGUGGUGUGACUUCUGGCUGGAGACCUCUGGAAAGCAGAUGGGGAGGAGGGAGGAAAAGCCACUUGCAUACCACCUAAAAUUGUGUUCCCUACAGUGCAGAGCCACACUUUUAUGUAAAAAUGGAAGUGCAGGUAACACAAGUAGUCAGCACAGAAAAAAAAUCUCGCUAAAAAACUCCGUAAGAACACAAGCUACUGAAGAUCAAAAUUCCUAGGCCAUUAAGAGACAGUGAAAGUAGGGGAAAAAAAUGCCUAAGCUCCAUCAGCAGACUGUUUCAGCACAGUGAGCUGGGAUAGCAAAUGGAUCUACUGGUGGAAGCAAACGGGAAGGAAGGAAAGUUCUCGCUCACGCUGUGAAAACACACAGACGGAGAUUAAGAAAAUCAUUUGCUUUAAUGUUUGGUCCUCCUUCGUCUCAGUGUUGCUCUUCUCAAAGGGGAAACAGGAGCUCCGCAUCAUGAUGGCGGGUUGAGGUCUCCGGUCAGGGGAAGAGGAAGGGCAGCCCCGGCGAGCGGAGGGGCCCCGAGCACACGCAGGCGUCCUGCUUUUCCUUCUAAAGUGCUUGAACAGAGCUGCUGGGCCUCGGAAGACUGGGCCUGUCUCGCAGUGGGCUGCAGAUGGGAGCUCCUAAGGAGAGCCAGCCCUGGAGAAGGCUCCAGCCCUGCAGGGACAGCAGCAUCCCUGCCCUUGGGCCAGAGCUUGCCCCAAGGACCCCAGACUGAAGGAGCAGCAGAGGUGACCCCACCAUGGACGGAAGGUGACCCACUGUGCAGAGUGGUUUACUCGGCAGACCCCGCACACAAAACACGGGAGCAUCGGGCAUCCCUGCAGUACUUGUGGAGACUGAAAGUUCAGAUCUGGAACUUUCUCUGGGGUGACAUGGCAGCCUUUUCUUCCUCCUCGCUGUGCUCUGAUGACAGCCAUGGCGAGUCCAGGUGCUGGGUGGUCAUCACGGGUGCGUCUCACUGCCAAGACUCUGCAAAGAACAACAUGCACCUUAUUGAUAUGCUUAUGGAUAAAUGUACACCCAGCACGUGCUGCCCACAGGCAGUCCUGGACCAUUUGGCACAGGUGAGAACCAGACUCUUUUCCCGAGGACAUCUGGACAGCCCUUCAUUAUUGAGCAGACUUGAGUCGGUCCUGGCACAGGGGUCUCAGCCUGGUACCCAACCCCUCUUGCUCUGCAAGGCGAAUUUAAGUAGAGUGUGGACAUAGAUGUUGUCAUGGUAUCCAUUAUCAUAACUAACCUAAGACACCACUCAUUCAAAUGAAGCUAGAUGUUAAAGAGUGCGUCCAUUUGAAGAAAAGUACGAAGUUAAUACCAGUACAGAUGGUCUAGAGAUGAAGCAGAUGGCAAGAGAGGCAUGGGACCGCCUGGGCCGAUGGCACACAGAAACGCAUCGGGCGCUCUCAGCACUGGUACCAGGGGCAGGUGAGGUUUGGCGCUGGGAUCCUCCUGCCUGCUGGGAGUUCAGGAGGUGGCCUACCUGCUCGUAAUCUUCCACAUAUUUGUAUUUCUUCUCCCGAUAGUAGUAUCUCUUCUUCAUGCAGUAGAGGACUAUGACAUCACACAGCACUGUCGCCUGAAUGCAGCACAGGGCGAGAAAGAACGAGCCAGGAUGCUUGGGCCCCUCUUACUCCGUGCACGCCCUUCCUGCGGAGCCUGGGGUCUUUCAGGGAAAGGAAAGUCUCCUGUCUCUCGGGAGGAGGUUAGGCCUUAGGGGCGAGAUCUUGGAGAAGUAAAGGUGGAGGCUGGUGGGGAUGGGGAAGGGGAACAAGUCUGGGGUCAAGAGGAAGAACCAGGACACCAGGGGAGGGUGUCAACUCGCCGUGCUAACCACUCGCUGAGGAGGGCCCCAGCCCCGGGGGGUGGCCAGAGAGGUCUGAGUCACUCACCACCCCUAAGAGUGCCAAGCCGGAGCCGAUGUUGAUCAUGGUUGGGAUGAUGUCAAAUUUCCCGGCCUGCAAAUGAUGGGAGAAAAAGAAAAAGGAGUUGGGUGGGGGUAGGGAGAAAGUCCCUUCGCUCUGGCCAACACAGAGGAGGACCAGUGGGCUCUGAACGAGGGCAGCCAGCGGCCCCGCUACCUUUCCAAACACGAUGAUGUCGAAACGGAUGCCGUAGGCUUUGAUGAGUGUGCGGUGCUCGGUGCCGGUCGGGUCGUGGUAGUACUUGGCAAACCUGGGAAAGGAGGCCGGUUAGAGGGAAAAGGCACAGGGCGGCUGAGACGGUGGCCGACCUGCUUGCUGCAGAGGCCCGGGGCAAGGGGUGUCGGGGCGGAACUCCCGAGGCUCUGGUGGCGUUGGCAUGAUUCCCUCUGCCUGUUGAGCGGACCACACUCAGCACCUCAGGGCCUCUCCCGGCAAACGUGAGCCGCGCAGGAGGGCUGGCCCGCUGAGGAGGGGGGCGCCAGGGCCCACAGGGCAGAGGGUCGGGAAUGCUGGCCAAGGGCCACGUGAAGAGAUCCUCCCUCCACAGUCACUCUCACCUUCUGUGACUUCAAACUGGAACUUUUUGCUCUGAGAGGCCUUCCUGACAUAGCCGAGCCCUCUGCUUCUCUCGAGGAGACGCUGGCCACUAACAGAACGUGACCAGCCAGCAACAAUCUCCAGGGCUGCUUUGUGAGUGGGGGACCGAGCAUCAGCAGAGGAUUAUUUUUUCUAAAGAGCCAUCGAUCCAUCAGUCGGAGGAGUGGAUAAACAAAAUGUGGCAUGUCCACACAAUGGCCUUACAAAAAGAUGAAGUAGUGAUAAAUGCUACAACACAAAUGAACCUUGAAAAAAAAAAAACAUGAUGCUAAGUGAAAGAAGCCAGUCACAGAAGGCCACACGUUGUAUAAGUCCAUUCAUAUGAACGUCCGGAAGAGGCAAACCCCUGGAAGGCAGACUACUGAUUACCAGGGGCUGAGGUAGAUGGGGAGAGAGAGGUGACAGCUAGAAGGCCCAGGGUUUCUUUCUGAGGUGAUGAAAACGUGCUAAAAUUGACUAUGGUAAUAGUCGCACAACUCUGUGCAUAUACUAAAAACAACUGAAUUCUAACACUUUGCACGGAGGAACUGUGUAGUAUGUGAAUUAUAGCUCAAUAAGCCACCUAAAAAGAAUACGAGGGGGGAUGGUGGCAGGACAGCCACUGAGACCGAUACCAUUUGCUGCCUGUGUUACACAGGGCAGCCACGAGGAGCCUAAGCUCUCGGCCUGUGAUCUGUCUGGCCCACAACUUCCAUGCCACAGUCCAGGCCUGCGAACCCGGGUGGGGCCCAAUGCUGGCAGAGGUUGGAGGGAUGGGUGUCCUCCUGAGGGUCCCAUUGGCUUCUCUCCGUUCUGGGGUCCCAAUCCAAACCUGAGGUUUUCCACGGUGGUUCCUACGAGAACUGUGUAACUGCAGAGAUGGAGCAAUGCAAAUGUGACUCCCUUCCUAGGGAAAAAUGCAAGUAUCUGCCCUGCUAUCAUGAGACCAGAUGGUUCAACAGGACAGCAGAUCCUGCAUGCACUUGAUUCUACCACUAGAGGGAGACAAGUGCGGCCCAAGAGCACCGCGGACCUGCUCAGGUGGUCCCUCCUGGGGCUUGUGUCUGAGAGUGGCUGCAAGUGUGGAAGAUACCACAAAGGGCACAUGAAAAUAUAUGUGGCAACAGAGUUUACUGCCUCAAGAAAGUGGCAAAUAUGACCCUGGUCCCAUGGCCCUCUUAUCAGCCUACUAGCCGUACUGGUUUGAAUAUUGUCCCCCAAAUUCAUGUCUGCCCAGAACCUGUGAACAUGACCUUACUUGGAAAUAGGAUCUUUGCAGAUGUAAUUAGUUAAGAUGAAGCCGUGCUGGAUUAGGGUGGACCCCGAAUUUGAGAUGCCUGGUAUCCAUAAGAGAGAGGACACAGACACAGACACGGAAGAGAAGGCCAUGUGACGACAGAGCCAGAGACUGGGGGCGUGCACCUCCAAGCCAAGGACCACCAAGGAUCGUCGGGAGCCACCAGAAGCUGGAAGAGGCAAGGAAGGAGCCUGGCUGGCUGGCACAUUCAUUUUGGGCUUCUAGCCUCCAGAACUAAGAGAAUAGAUUCUUGCCAUUUCAAGCCACCCAGUUUGUGGCCACGUGUUACGGCAGCUCUAGGGGACGAACACCCAGAGCCUCCAGCAGGAAGGUACCAGCAAAGGCUU